AGAGUUGAUCCUGGCUUAGGACGAACGCUGGCGGCGUGCCUAACACAUGCAAGUCGAGCGAGGAGAUCCUCGGGAUGAUCCUAGCGGCGGACGGGUGAGUAACACGUGGGCAACCUGCCUCAUAGAGAGGAAUAGCCUUCCGAAAGGGAGAUUAAUACCUCAUAACAUUGCAGUUUCGCAUGGAACAGCAAUUAAAGGAGUAAUCCGCUAUGAGAUGGGCCCGCGGCGCAUUAGCUAGUUGGUGAGGUAACGGCUCACCAAGGCGACGAUGCGUAGCCGACCUGAGAGGGUGAUCGGCCACAUUGGGACUGAGACACGGCCCAGACUCCUACGGGAGGCAGCAGUGGGGAAUAUUGCACAAUGGGGGAAACCCUGAUGCAGCCAACGCCGCGUGAGUGAUGACGGCCUUCGGGUUGUAAAGCUCUGUCUUCAGGGACGAUAAUGACGGUACCUGAGGAGGAAGCCACGGCUAACUACGUGCCAGCAGCUGC
rnacentral:rRNA from 1 species